AUUGAACGCUGGCGGCGUGUCUUAAGCAUGCAAGUUGAGCGGCAAGGAGGAGAGAUCCUCCCUAGAGCGGCGGACUGGUGAGUAACGCGUGGGUAAUCUAUCGUAGGCAUGGGGAUAGUCACUAGAAAUAGUGGGUAAUACCGAAUACGUUCCAUGAGGGGAGUAUUCAUGGAAGAAAGGGUGCUACGGCACUGGCCUUAGGUGAGCUCGCGUCCCAUUAGCUAGUUGGUGAGGUAAAGGCCCACCAAGGCGAUGAUGGGUAGCCGGCCUGAGAGGGUGUACGGCCACACUGGGACUGAGAUACGGCCCAGACUCCUACGGGAGCAGCAGCUAAGAAUAUUCCGCAAUGGACGAAAGUCUGACGGAGCGACGCCGCGUGGAUGAAGAAGGCCGAAAGGUUGUAAAGUUCUUUUGCUAGGGAGAAUAAGUGAGGGAGGAAUGCCUCAUGAUGACAAGGACUAGCGAAUAAGCCCCGGCCAACUACGUGCC
rnacentral:rRNA from 1 species